rnacentral:rRNA from 1 species
UGUCGUGAGAUGUUGGGUUAAGGUCCCGUAACGAGACGCAACCCUUGUCCUUAGUUACCAGCACGUUAUGGUGGGCACUCUAAGGAGACUGCCGGUGACAAACCGGAGGAAGGUGGGGAUGACGUCAAGUCAUCAUGGCCCUUACGGCCUGGGCUACACACGUGCUACAAUGGUCGGUACAAAGGGUUGCCAAGCCGCGAGGUGGAGCUAAUCCCAUAAAACCGAUCGUAGUCCGGAUCGCAGUCUGCAACUCGACUGCGUGAAGUCGGAAUCGCUAGUAAUCGUGAAUCAGAAUGUCACGGUGAAUACGUUCCCGGGCCUU